rnacentral:rRNA from 1 species
UACGGGGGGGCGAAGCGUUGUUCGGUAAUUACUGGGCGUAAGGGCGUGUAGGUGGCCAACUAAGUCCGUACGUGGAAAUCCCCAGCUUAACCUGGGAACUGCGUCGGAUCUGGAUGGCUUGAAUUCGGGAGAGGGAUGGCAGAUUCCAGGUGUAGCGGUGAAAUGACGUAGAUAUCUGGAGGAAUACCGGUGGCGAAGGCGGCAUCCUGGACCGAGAUUGACACUAAAGCGCGAAAGCCAGGGGAGCGAAA